GACAGAAGCCGGGAUAGCUCA
rnacentral:tRNA from 1 species